rnacentral:lncRNA from 1 species
AUUGGAUCAUGAACAAAUCGAAUCGAAGGCAGGUUGGAUCAAAAAGGUCUAAAUCUAAAGCUGACCUAUUUAUUAAAUGAAAUAGAUUUAAAAUCUAAACCUAUCAUAUUUAAUAAAUAAGUAACUUGACCCAAUCCAUUUAGCUUGUUUAAAAAAUGAGUAACCUAUUUAUCCAAUUAACUUGGUACAUUAUGUUAGGCAGAAGUGAUUUCUUUUCUCCUAGGUAAGCU